AUGUCAGAAGAAGUUGUUUCUCAUGCCCUUGAAACCAUUAUUGAAGAAGAACAUGUUGCACCAAAAGUUGAAAAAGUUAAUGACACAGGUAUACCUCUGAACCUUGUCUCUAAUAAUGUCUUAGAUUCUUCCAACUCAUGUAUGAUGAGAAUGCUCUGUUGCGGUGCUACUUUUAUGUUUGCUGUCUGUAAGGUCAGGUGUUCAUCAUGCCGGUUUGUGACAGAAAUCGGGGCAAACAACAAGCGGCCUCCCUGGUCUGUAAGAUAG